AACAAGUAUAACUGAGGGUGGGCAGGGAACUGGAGGGAGCAGUGGAUGCUGCUCUUAAGGAAGUAAAAGGCAAUUCCUAACAUUUAGUGCAAUGUUUGACAUAAAGCCAGCAGCACCAGAUGAUGCAUGAAGAGGGAAGAUUUCCAGACUUGGAGGAAGCUCGGACGCAGACUGGGAAAGGCCUGAUAUGCUGCAGUUCUGGGAGCUCCUGGGUGAUGCCUGCUGGGACCACACUUCAACAGCAAGUAAUUCUCGCAAGGAUGUGGUCUUCAAACCAGCAGCUUCAGUGUUGCCAGAGAACCUGUUAGAAUACCUGAGGAUUUUUGCAUUCAUUGCCUUACCUUCUCUCCCUGACCCAGUGUUCCAGAAUAGACACAGUGGUCUGUGUUUUCAUGAGCCUCCAGGUAAGGAUGCUGAUGCUCUCACUGUUUGACAUGGACUAAAGGAGACAACUGAAAAGAAUCUGACCCCUGGAGUGGCAUUCUGGAUUUGCUGUGUGAUGGUUGUGUGGCCUUGACCAGUCACUUAACCUCUCUUAGCCUAGCAUGGAAGGCCCAUAAGUAUUGGACAUUUCUAAACCUAAAGCGUGACUGCCAAGACCCCAGCUGAAAUCAGGCCAUAUUUCACAUCCUUGAAUCCCAGCAGCACACUUUCUCUGUUGCUUCUGUAACAUGAAACCCAUUAUCAGUGUCUUCUCAGAAGAUGCUUGCAUGGCAGUGGUGAAGUGUCACAUGCAUCACUAACACAGCUUUGGAAAGCCCAACCAACUAUUACUAAGCAAAAUGUCAAUUGUUAUGAGAAAAGCAUUCAAGUCCCCUUACUAACUAGGCAUUUUCCAUUGAGUAGAUACCUGAUCACAACUGCUUGAGAAGGACCUAGAGUAUUUGAUUAUAGCACUAUCAGUGGGUCAAAUGAAGAAAACAGCUGUUGAACUGGAUGAUUCAUAUCAGUGCUCAAAUACCUUUGUGUGAAUAGAUCCUUCCAUGGAUUAAAAAAGCUCACUUUGUGUGGGAAGUACCCUUGAAUGAAUUGUUACAAGAGACCAGUAGCACAGACACUGAGAUUGACAAUUAAUA